ACGGGUGAGUAAUACAUCGGAACGUGUCCUGUAGUGGGGGAUAGCCCGGCGAAAGCCGGAUUAAUACCGCAUACGCUCUACGGAGGAAAGGGGGGGAUCUUAGGACCUCUCGCUACAGGGGCGGCCGAUGGCAGAUUAGCUAGUUGGUGGGGUAAAGGCCUACCAAGGCGACGAUCUGUAGCUGGUCUGAGAGGACGACCAGCCACACUGGGACUGAGACACGGCCCAGACUCCUACGGGAGGCAGCAGUGGGGAAUUUUGGACAAUGGGCGCAAGCCUGAUCCAGCAAUGCCGCGUGUGUGAAGAAGGCCUUCGGGUUGUAAAGCACUUUUGUCCGGAAAGAAAACCUCGUGGUUAAUACCCGUGGGGGAUGACGGUACCGGAAGAAUAAGCACCGGCUAACUACGUGCCAGCAGCCGCGGUAAUACGUAGGGUGCAAGCGUUAAUCGGAAUUACUGGGCGUAAAGCGUGCGCAGGCGGUUCGCUAAGACAGAUGUGAAAUCCCCGGGCUUAACCUGGGAACUGCAUUUGUGACUGGCGGGCUAGAGUAUGGCAGAGGGGGGUAGAAUUCCACGUGUAGCAGU
rnacentral:rRNA from 1 species